CAUUUAUGCCAUUUUUCUCUUUGUUUGUAGGCCUGACCGUUUGUCCUUGAGCCGUAGAUGGUCAACAAUCCGCUAGCUGUCUUGCUCUGACUGGUGCACUGGACAUGAUUUCAAUAGUUAGCCAGACCAUGAUUGAGCUUAAGGAUUGUGCUGCGGAUGCAGCCUGUGCAGUUCCGGGAGAAAGUCACUGUCUUGGGCAAUGCGGUCUGGUAUCAGGUCUGGAUGAUCCUUGCCUGACUGCGGGUUUGUGUACACCUCAAUCCGACUCUGUGUCCUGAACAGAGGCCGCAGUGGUGCAGCGCUUGUGGACGAUCCAUCAACAUCCUGAAAGGUCAACACUACACCAAGCUGGGAAAAUUGAUCCUGAUAGUCAUCCCCAGGCCUGACCGUUUGUCCUUGAGCCGUAGAUGGUCAACAAUCCGCUAGCUGUCUUGCUCUGACUGGUGCACUGGACAUGAUUUCAAUAGUUAGCCAGACCAUGAUUGAGCUUAAGGAUUGUGCUGCGGAUGCAGCCUGUGCAGUUCCGGGAGAAAGUCACUGUCUUGGGCAAUGCGGUCUGGUAUCAGGUCUGGAUGAUCCUUGCCUGACUGCGGGUUUGUGUACACCUCAAUCCGACUCUGUGUCCUGAACAGAGGCCGCAGUGGUGCAGCGCUUGUGGACGAUCCAUCAACAUCCUGAAAGGUCAACACUACACCAAGCUGGGAAAAUUGAUCCUGAUAGUCAUCCCCAGGCCUGACCGUUUGUCCUUGAGCCGUAGAUGGUCAACAAUCCGCUAGCUGUCUUGCUCUGACUGGUGCACUGGACAUGAUUUCAAUAGUUAGCCAGACCAUGAUUGAGCUUAAGGAUUGUGCUGCGGAUGCAGCCUGUGCAGUUCCGGGAGAAAGUCACUGUCUUGGGCAAUGCGGUCUGGUAUCAGGUCUGGAUGAUCCUUGCCUGACUGCGGGUUUGUGUACACCUCAAUCCGACUCUGUGUCCUGAACAGAGGCCGCAGUGGUGCAGCGCUUGUGGACGAUCCAUCAACAUCCUGAAAGGUCAACACUACACCAAGCUGGGAAAAUUGAUCCUGAUAGUCAUCCCCAGGCCUGACCGUUUGUCCUUGAGCCGUAGAUGGUCAACAAUCCGCUAGCUGUCUUGCUCUGACUGGUGCACUGGACAUGAUUUCAAUAGUUAGCCAGACCAUGAUUGAGCUUAAGGAUUGUGCUGCGGAUGCAGCCUGUGCAGUUCCGGGAGAAAGUCACUGUCUUGGGCAAUGCGGUCUGGUAUCAGGUCUGGAUGAUCCUUGCCUGACUGCGGGUUUGUGUACACCUCAAUCCGACUCUGUGUCCUGAACAGAGGCCGCAGUGGUGCAGCGCUUGUGGACGAUCCAUCAACAUCCUGAAAGGUCAACACUACACCAAGCUGGGAAAAUUGAUCCUGAUAGUCAUCCCCAGGCCUGACCGUUUGUCCUUGAGCCGUAGAUGGUCAACAAUCCGCUAGCUGUCUUGCUCUGACUGGUGCACUGGACAUGAUUUCAAUAGUUAGCCAGACCAUGAUUGAGCUUAAGGAUUGUGCUGCGGAUGCAGCCUGUGCAGUUCCGGGAGAAAGUCACUGUCUUGGGCAAUGCGGUCUGGUAUCAGGUCUGGAUGAUCCUUGCCUGACUGCGGGUUUGUGUACACCUCAAUCCGACUCUGUGUCCUGAACAGAGGCCGCAGUGGUGCAGCGCUUGUGGACGAUCCAUCAACAUCCUGAAAGGUCAACACUACACCAAGCUGGGAAAAUUGAUCCUGAUAGUCAUCCCCAGGUAGUGGAAUGAAUGUACACUGAACUACAGAGGAAUCACACCCAAAUGACUUUCCUGCCACGACAUUAGUGUGGCCACUCGCGUAGGAAUUCCUUAGCAAACGUGCUCUUUUGCAUGGUGACUGUGGGCAUUUUUGCAAAACUUACGCUUUCAA